AUUGAACGCUGGCGGCAGGCCUAACACAUGCAAGUCGAGCGAGCGGCGGACGGGUGAGUGAUGCCUGGGAAUUGCCCAGUCGUGGGGGCUAACAGUUGGAAACGACUGCUAAAACCGCCUACGAUUGGAUUGCCCAGGUGGGAUUAGCUAGUUGGUGAGGUAAAGGCUCACCAAGGCGACGCUCCCUAGCUGGUCUGAGAGGAUGAGCAGACACGCUGGAACUGAGACACGGUCCAGACUCCUACAGUAGGCAGCAGUGGGGAAUAUUGGACAAUGGGGGAAAGCCGGAUGCAGCCAUGCCGCGUGUAUGAAUAAGGUCUUCGGGUUGUAUAGCACUUUCAGCGAGGAGGCGUUACUCGCAGAAGAAGCACCAGCGAACUCCGUGCCAGCCGCCGCGGUAAUAC
rnacentral:rRNA from 1 species